GUCGGCCUGCGCGGAAGAUGUAACGGGGCUAAACCAUGCACCGAAGCUGCGGCAGCGAACGUAUCACUUAAAGCGAUUCAGCGGGUUACGAUUGACGGAGCGAAGCGACGUCAAAGCGUAUACAAAGUCGAGUCGGUUUAAGGAUACGUUCGUUGGGUAGGGGAGCGUUCUGUAAGCCUGUGAAGGUGUGUCGUGAGGCAUGCUGGAGGUAUCAGAAGUGCGAAUGCUGACAUAAGUAACGAUAAAGCGGGUGAAAAGCCCGCUCGCCGGAAGACCAAGGGUUCCUGUCCAACGUUAAUCGGGGCAGGGUGAGUCGACCCCUAAGGCGAGGCCGAAAGGCGUAGUCGAUGGGAAACGGGUUAAUAUUCCCGUACUUGGUGUUACUGCGAAGGGGGGACGGAGAAGGCUAUGUUGGCCGGGCGACGGUUGUCCCGGUUUAAGCGUGUAGGUGUGUGUUCCAGGUAAAUCCGGUUCACUUUAACACUGAGGCGUGACGACGAGGCACUACGGUGCUGAAGCAACAAAUGCCCUGCUUCCAGGAAAAGCCUCUAAGCAUCAGGUAACAUCAAAUCGUACCCCAAACCGACACAGGUGGUCAGGUAGAGAAUACCAAGGCGCUUGAGAGAACUCGGGUGAAGGAACUAGGCAAAAUGGUGCCGUAACUUCGGGAGAAGGCACGCUGACACGUAGGUGAAGUGAUUUACUCAUGGAGCUGAAGUCAGUCGAAGAUACCAGCUGGCUGCAACUGUUUAUUAAAAACACAGCACUGUGCAAACACGAAAGUGGACGUAUACGGUGUGACGCCUGCCCGGUGCCGGAAGGUUAAUUGAUGGGGUCAGCGCAAGCGAAGCUCCUGAUCGAAGCCCCGGUAAACGGCGGCCGUAACUAUAACGGUCCUAAGGUAGCGAAAUUCCUUGUCGGGUAAGUUCCGACCUGCACGAAUGGCGUAAUGAUGGCCAGGCUGUCUCCACCCGAGACUCAGUGAAAUUGAACUCGCUGUGAAGAUGCAGUGUACCCGCGGCAAGACGGAAAGACCCCGUGAACCUUUACUAUAGCUUGACACUGAACAUUGAGCCUUGAUGUGUAGGAUAGGUGGGAGGCUUUGAAGUGUGGACGCCAGUCUGCAUGGAGCCGACCUUGAAAUACCACCCUUUAAUGUUUGAUGUUCUAACGUGGACCCGUGAUCCGGGUUGCGGACAGUGUCUGGUGGGUAGUUUGACUGGGGCGGUCUCCUCCUAAAGAGUAACGGAGGAGCACGAAGGUUGGCUAAUCCUGGUCGGACAUCAGGAGGUUAGUGCAAUGGCAUAAGCCAGCUUGACUGCGAGCGUGACGGCGCGAGCAGGUGCGAAAGCAGGUCAUAGUGAUCCGGUGGUUCUGAAUGGAAGGGCCAUCGCUCAACGGAUAAAAGGUACUCCGGGGAUAACAGGCUGAUACCGCCCAAGAGUUCAUAUCGACGGCGGUGUUUGGCACCUCGAUGUCGGCUCAUCACAUCCUGGGGCUGAAGUAGGUCCCAAGGGUAUGGCUGUUCGCCAUUUAAAGUGGUACGCGAGCUGGGUUUAGAACGUCGUGAGACAGUUCGGUCCCUAUCUGCCGUGGGCGCUGGAGAACUGAGGGGGGCUGCUCCUAGUACGAGAGGACCGGAGUGGACGCAUCACUGGUGUUCGGGUUGUCAUGCCAAUGGCACUGCCCGGUAGCUAAAUGCGGAAGAGAUAAGUGCUGAAAGCAUCUAAGCACGAAACUUGCCCCGAG
rnacentral:rRNA from 1 species